CAAUAGCGUAUAUUUAAGUUGUUGCAGUUAAAAAGCUCGUAGUUGGAUUUCGGUUGAGAACGGCCGGUCCGCCGUUUGGUGUGCACUGGCUGGUUUCAACUUCCUGUAGAGGACGCGCUCUGGCUUCACGGCUGGGCGCGGAGUCUACGUGGUUACUUUGAAAAAAUUAGAGUGUUCAAAGCGGGCUUACGCUUGAAUAUUUCAGCAUGGAAUAACACUACAGGACUCCUGUCCUAUUUCGUUGGUCUCGGGACGGGAGUAAUGAUUAAGAGGAACAGUUGGGGGCAUUCGUAUUUCAUUGUCAGAGGUGAAAUUCUUGGAUUUAUGAAAGACGAACUUCUGCGAAAGCAUUUGCCAAGGAUGUUUUCAUUAA
rnacentral:rRNA from 1 species